UUGAAAGGGAAACGAUUGAAGUCAGUCGUACCAACGGGAAAUCAAUUCAUCGAGUGUUGAAUGAAUUUGGGUUUUUGAGGAGUAACCUUUGGGAUUCAAAUAUUUUCACUUUUUGAACGUAUUUUCUCGUACGGUAGGUUAACAUCGAUUUUGAACAUUAUAAAAUGAUCGGAGGAAUGUAGCUUCGAUCUCGUAUUGAAGUGUUAUAGCCUUUGGUAGAUGUGGUGAACGAAACUGAGGAUUGCAACGAAUACCCUUUGGGCUAUCCGUCUGACCUCUGAAAGUUGCUUGGGUGCCGAAAGCUUGCUUACGGUCAUUCAUGACAACGGUCAAAAGGUUAGAACGUGAUUACAUUCGUUAAGGAUGUUGACGUA
rnacentral:rRNA from 1 species